GAUGAACGCUGGCGGCGUGCCUAAUACAUGCAAGUCGAACGCAUUGUGGUUGAAAUGAUAUGAAGAACUUGUUCAGAUUUGAUUUUCAACAUUGCAAUGAGUGGCGAACGGGUGAGUAACACGUGGGAAACCUACCUCUUAGCAGGGGAUAACAUUUGGAAACAAAUGCUAAUACCGUAUAAUAAUUAAAACCGCAUGGUUUUAGUUUAAAAGAUGGUUUUGCUAUCACUAAGAGAUGGUCCCGCGGUGUAUUAGUUAGUUGGUGAGGUAAUGGCUCACCAAGACAAUGAUACAUAGCCGAGUUGAGAGACUGACCGGCCACAAUGGGAGUGAGACACGGCCCAUACUCCUACGGGAGGCAGCAGUAGGGAAUCUUCCACAAUGGACGAAAGUCUGAUGGAGCAGCGCCGCGUGUGUGAUGAAGGGUUUCGGUUCGUAAAACACUGUUGUAAGAGAAGAAUGACAUUGAGAGUAACUGUUCAAUGUGUGACGGUAUCUUAACC
rnacentral:rRNA from 1 species